rnacentral:rRNA from 1 species
GACGAACGCUGGCGGCGUGCUUAACACAUGCAAGUCGAGCGGUAAGGCCUCUUCGGGGGUACACGAGCGGCGAACGGGUGAGUAACACGUGGGUGACCUGCCCUCAGCUCUGGGAUAAGCCUGGGAAACUGGGUCUAAUACCGGAUAUGACUGCGCAUCGCAUGGUGUGUGGUGGAAAGUUCCUGGCCUUUGGGUUGGGUUCGGUUGGGGAUGGGCCCGCGGCCUAUCAGCUUGUUGGGGGGUGAUGGCCUACCAAGGCGACGACGGGUAGCCGGCCUGAGAGGGCGUCCGGCCACACUGGGACUGAGACACGGCCCAGACUCCUACGGGAGGCAGCAGUGGGGAAUAUUGCGCAAUGGGCGGAAGCCUGACGCAGCGACGCCGCGU